rnacentral:rRNA from 1 species
CCUACGGGAGGCUGCAGUGAGGAAUAUUGGUCAAUGGGCGGAAGCCUGAACCAGCCAAGUAGCGUGCAGGAUGACGGCCCUACGGGUUGUAAACUGCUUUUAUACGGGAAUAACGCGCCUUACGUGUAGGGCUUUGCAUGUACCGUAUGAAUAAGGACCGGCUAAUUCCGUGCCCGCAGCCGCGGUUAUACGGAAGGUCCGGGCGUUAUCCGGAUUUAUUGGGUUUAAAGGGAGUGGAGGCCGGAUGUCAAACGUGCUGUGAAAUGUUCGGGGUGAACCCGGGCCUUGCCGGGGGACAUGGCGUGCUUGAGUCCGCGGAAAGUAGGCGGAAGUCGUGGUGUAGCGGUGAAAUGCUUAGAUAUGACGCAGAACCCCGAUUGCGAAGGCAGCUUGCUGCAGCGGAACUGACGCUGAUGCUCGAAAGCGCGGGUAUCGAACAGGAUUAGAUACCCCAGUAGUC